ACUGCACCUACUAGCGGUCCCCGGGUUUCCUGAACUUUUCUUCGGAAAUCAAAACGCGCUAUAAGUAGGACAAAUGUCCUAAAAAAUCUAAAAUCAACCUUAGAGUCAAAUUCUGGCCAAUUUCGGCACGACGGCAUCGCUGCCCACUGCGGUAGUACGCCUUGGGUUGGCUAUUUUAAGCUAUUUUUAACCAAAUUCGACCAAUUU
rnacentral:lncRNA from 1 species